GACGAACGCUGGCGGCAUGCCUAAUACAUGCAAGUCGAGCGAACAGAUGAAGUGCUUGCACUUCUGACGUUAGCGGCGAACGGGUGAGUAACACGUAAGGAAUCUACCUAUAAGCGGGGGAUAACAUUCGGAAACGGGUGCUAAUACCGCAUAAUAUCUUCUUCCGCAUGGAAGAGGAUUGAAAGACGGCUCUGCUGUCACUUAUAGAUGACCUUGCGGUGCAUUAGUUAGUUGGUGGGGUAAUGGCCUACCAAGACGAUGAUGCAUAGCCGACCUGAGAGGGUGUUCGGCCACAUUGGGACUGAGACACGGCCCAAACUCCUACGGGAGGCAGCAGUAGGGAAUCUUCCGCAAUGGGCGAAAGCCUGACGGAGCAAUGCCGCGUGAGUGAAGAAGGCCUUCGGGUCGUAAAACUCUGUUAUAAGAGAAGAACAAAUUGUAGAGUAACUGCUACAGUCUUGACGGUAUCUAAUCGGAAAGCCACGGCUAACUACGUGCCAGCCGCCGCCGUAA
rnacentral:rRNA from 1 species